rnacentral:rRNA from 1 species
GACGAACGCUGGCGGCGUGCUUAACACAUGCAAGUCGAACGGAAAGGCCCUGCUUUUGUGGGGUGCUCGAGUGGCGAACGGGUGAGUAACACGUGAGUAACCUGCCCUUUACUUUGGGAUAACUUCAGGUAACUGGGGCUACUACCGGAUAGGAGCUCCUGCUGCAUGGUGGGGGUUGGAAAGUUUCGGCGGUUGGGGAUGGACUCGCGGCUUAUCAGCUUGUUGGUGGGGUAGUGGCUUACCAAGGCUUUGACGGGUAGCCGACCUGUGAGGGUGACCGGCGACAUGGGGACUGAGAGACGGCCCAGAGUGGUACGGGAGGCAGCAGGGGGGAAUAUUGCGCAAUGGGCGGAAGCCUAAUGCAGAGGCGCCGCGUGCGGGAUGAAGGCCUUCGGGUGGUAAACCGCGUUCGCCUGUGACGAAGCGUGAGUGACGGUAAUGGGUAAAGAAGCACCGGCUAACUACGUG